GUGUGAUUCGUCACACUAUCAUUAACUGAAUCCAUAGGUUAAUGAGGCGAACCGGGGGAACUGAAACAUCUAAGUACCCCGAGGAAAAGAAAUCAACCGAGAUUCCCCCAGUAGCGGCGAGCGAACGGGGAGGAGCCCAGAGCCUGAAUCAGCAUGUGUGUUAGUGGAAGCGUCUGGAAAGGCGCGCGAUACAGGGUGACAGCCCCGUACACAAAAGCGCAUGUGCUGUGAGCUCGAUGAGUAGGGCGGGACACGUGGUAUCCUGUCUGAAUAUGGGGGGACCAUCCUCCAAGGCUAAAUACUCCUGACUGACCGAUAGUGAACCAGUACCGUGAGGGAAAGGCGAAAAGAACCCCGGCGAGGGGAGUGAAAAAGAACCUGAAACCGUGUACGUACAAGCAGUGGGAGCACAGGUUUACCUGUGUGACUGCGUACCUUUUGUAUAAUGGGUCAGCGACUUAUAUUCUGUAGCAAGGUUAACCGAAUAGGGGAGC
rnacentral:rRNA from 1 species